rnacentral:rRNA from 1 species
UACAGAGGGUGCAAGCGUUGUUCGGAAUUACUGGGCGUAAAGCGUGUGUAGGCGGCCUCGUAGGUCGGAUGUGAAAUCUCGCGGCUCAACCGGGAAAGUGCAUUCGAAACUACGAGGCUUGAGUGUGGGAGAGGAAGGCGGAAUUGUCGGUGUAGAGGUGAAAUUCGUAGAUAUCGACAGGAACACCUGCGGCGAAAGCGGCCUUCUGGACGAGCACUGACGCUGAGACACGAAAGCGUGGGGAGCAAACAGG